rnacentral:rRNA from 1 species
AGCGAACGCUGGCGGCAGGCCUAACACAUGCAAGUCGAACGAACCUUUCGGGGUUAGUGGCGGACGGGUGAGUAACACGUGGGAACGUGCCUUUAGGUUCGGAAUAACUCAGGGAAACUUGUGCUAAUACCGAAUGUGCCCUUCGGGGGAAAGAUUUAUCGCCUUUAGAGCGGCCCGCGUCUGAUUAGCUAGUUGGUUGAGGUAAUGGCUCACCAAGGCGACGAUCAGUAGCUGGUCUGAGAGGAUGAUCAGCCACAUUGGGACUGAGACACGGCCCAAACUCCUACGGGAGGCAGCAGUGGGGAAUCUUGCGCAAUGGGCGAAAGCCUGACGCAGCCAUGCCGCGUGAAUGAUGAAGGUCUUAGGAUUGUAAAAUUCUUUCACCGGGGACGAUAAGGACGGUACCCGGAGAAGAAGCCCCGGCUAACUUCGU